UACGGAGGGUGCAAGCGUUAUCCGGAUUUACUGGGUUUAAAGGGUGCGUAGGUGGGUAGGUAAGUCAGUGGUGAAAUCUUCGAGCUUAGCUCGGAAACUGCCAUUGAUACUAUUUAUCUUGAAUACUUUGGAGGUAAGCGGAAUAUGUCAUGUAGCGGUGAAAUGCUUAGAUAUGACAUAGAACACCAAUUGCGAAGGCAGCUUACUACACAGUUAUUGACACUGAGGCACGAAAGCGUGGGGAUCAAACAGG
rnacentral:rRNA from 1 species